rnacentral:rRNA from 1 species
GGCUGCACCAGAAGUAGAUAGCUUAACCUUCGGGGGGGCGUUUACCACGGUGUGGUUCAUGACUGGGGUGAAGUCGUAACAAGGUAGCCCUAGGGGAACCUGGGGCUGGAUCACCUCCUUAACGA